AUAUGAUCUUAUAGGGAUCAUCACCCAACACUUUCUCACUGCUUUAGGUAUAGCUAUUUGUGGCAGAGAUCUAAAGACCACUAAUGAACUUAUCACUAUACUAACCGAGAUAGAAGAAUCCACAUCUUUUUGCGAAAAUGUUUCUUCACAACCCCCUCAUCAUUUCAGUCUCAACUGACAUUUUCCCCCAGAGCUAGAAAUAAUAACCAUAAUAAUUAACAUUAUGUAUCAAACAAUCCCCAUACAAAACCAGUUCACAGUCUCCAGGAUAAUCAAAACCAUGAUAGUUAUACUGGUAACAAUAAUUAUAGACGCUCUAGUCAGUAUUAGCGAAAUCCUCCAGGAACCAUUCUAAUUCUGCACUCAACACUCCAGUAUCCAUAAAUAAUAAUUUCCUAGAAACAAGCAACGAUUCUCAUUUCAUUCAUCAACUGAAUGCCUCAGGAAACAUCGCAGAGGCCCACAUAUGGAUAUACUGCAUGGCGGUGCCUUUUAAAUCCUCAAUCGGCGUACCCUAAUUCACUGUUUUUCCCCUUCACAAACUCCCUCUGAACCCAUAUCUGUUUAACCUAUUGUCAUCACACCAAUCACUACUUGACCUGGUCUUGAAGUUAAUGUUUUUCAACAUCCAAUUCAAACUAGUUGACACUGGUGCUUCUGUCUACUGUUUCAGAGCAAUUUUUUAAAGUUAUACAAACUUAAGUCCUUGAAGGGCAAACCCUGUCCACACUGCCUGCGUCAGGUGUAACAAUUACUACUGUGGUGGAAGGUAGAAGUCAUAAAAUGAUAUAACCAGUUUUAAUUCCUUUUACUGUCCCUCGCCAUAAGUGUGAUUACAUUUGUCUUGUAGUUUCAAACUUAAAGGCCCUGAUGAUUUUAAGCAAUGAUUGGUUAUCACAGCAAGGAGUAGAUAAACAAUAUUCCAUUUGUAUAUUUUAUUUCCCAAUGUGGAAUAUUCAAGUUCGUAGAUAGUAGCUUAUGUCCAGUAGGGACAACCUACCCUGAACUUACUAUUCAGGAGAUGUCCGAAGAGUCUAAGGAACCAACCUAGCACAAUUCAACUGUUGUUGAGUAUCCAUUUCCCAUAGUCAUUUAUCCCUCUGUAGAGAUAACCACUAUGCAAACCCACCACAGAGUAUGUACUCAUAGAAAAUAUUAUAAAUAGUCUGAAUUUAAUUUCCACCAUUAAUAAGUCACAGUUUGACCAAGUUAUAUCUCCCUGUUUCUCAAAUAACAGCAUAUUUUCCGUACUCAUCCAGGUUUAAAUUUCUUGUGUACAUGUAGAUUUAGUGUCUUUGAUACUACCCCUUUCAAGGUAAACCCUUAUCCAAUAUCAUUUUCACAUCAUUUAGAUCUGGAGAUCGCAUGCAUGAUCAAUUGGAAUAUUAUAGAAAGAUGUUCUUUUCCUUGAUGGAUCCAAUUUAUUUUUAUUUAAUAAUUAUUAACUUAAUAAAUAAUUCUCCCUAAAAUACCAUGUGUUUAUUUAUUUUAGCUUAAAGCAAGUUUCCCUUUUCUUCCGUAUGACCCGAAU